rnacentral:rRNA from 1 species
UACGGGGGGGGUAAGCGUUGUUCGGAAUUACUGGGCGUAAAGGGCUCGUAGGCGGCCAACUAAGUCAGACGUGAAAUCCCUCAGCUUAACUGGGGAACUGCGUCUGAUACUGGAUGGCUUGGAUCCGGAAGGGAGAUGCGGAAUUCCAGGUGUAGCGGUGAAAUGCGUAGAUAUCUGGAGGAACACCGGUGGCGAAGGCGGCAUCCUGGGCCGGUAUUGACGCUGAGGAGCGAAAGCGUGGGGAGCGAACGGG